rnacentral:rRNA from 1 species
AUUGAACGCUGGCGGCAUGCUUUACACAUGCAAGUCGAACGGUAACAGGCCGCAAGGUGCUGACGAGUGGCGAACGGGUGAGUAAUGCAUCGGAACGUGCCCAGUCGUGGGGGAUAAUUACUCGAAAGAGUAGCUAAUACCGCAUACGAUCUAUGGAUGAAAGCGGGGGACCGUAAGGCCUCGCGCGAUUGGAGCGGCCGAUGUCGGAUUAGGUAGUUGGUGGGGUAAAGGCUCACCAAGCCAACGAUCUGUAGCUGGUCUGAGAGGACGACCAGCCACACUGGGACUGAGACACGGCCCAGACUCCUACGGGAGGCAGCAGUGGGGAAUUUUGGACAAUGGGCGCAAGCCUGAUCCAGCAAUGCCGCGUGCAGGAAGAAGGCCUUCGGGUUGUAAACUGCUUUUGUACGGAACGAAACGGCUCUGGUUAAUACCCGGGGCUAAUGACGGUACCGUAAGAAUAAGCACCGGCUAACUACGUG